UUCCUGGGCGGGUUCGCCCGCCACCAGGACCAAACCAUAAACCUUUUUUUCUUAUGCAGUUUCCAUCAGCGUCAGUAAAAACAAUGUAAUUAUUACAACUUUCAACAACGGAUCUCUUGGUUCUGGCAUCGAUGAAGAACGCAGCGAAAUGCGAUACGUAGUGUGAAUUGCAGAAUUCAGUGAAUCAUCGAAUCUUUGAACGCACAUUGCGCCCUUUGGUAUUCCAAAGGGCAUGCCUGUUCGAGCGUCAUUUGUACCUUCAAGCUUUGCUUGGUGUUGGGCGUUUUUUUGUCUCCCUCUUUCUGGGAGACUCGCCUUAAAACGAUUGGCAGCCGGCCUACUGGUUUCGGAGCGCAGCACAUUUUUUGCGCUUUGUAUCAGGAGAAAAGGACGGUACUCCAUCAAGACUCUACAUUUUUCACUUUUGACCUCGGAUCAGGUAGGGAUACCCGCUGAACUUAA
rnacentral:rRNA from 1 species